rnacentral:lncRNA from 1 species
GGGAUGCGAUAUUGCUCCCGGAGCCGAUCGACGUUCGACCCCGAAAGUGAAGAGACCUCCACCUCCGGGGUCGACCGAGUGUCGUCAGUCGGCUCUCCCGACCGACUUCCUCGGGGGGAUGUUCUAGCCAUGGAUUAAAACAAAGGAAAUGAAGAAGAAGGCAGGGAGGAGGAGACGGUGAAGAUGAUGAUGGCCCCCAGAAGAAGAAGAGGGAGCUCCUAAGAAGAAAGGGAGCGGAGAAGAAUACCUGGAAUGAGGGAUUACGCG